rnacentral:rRNA from 1 species
GAUGAACGCUGGCGGCGUGCCUAAUACAUGCAAGUCGAGCGAACAGAUAAGGAGCUUGCUCCUAUGACGUUAGCGGCGGACGGGUGAGUAACGCGUGGAUAACCUACCUAUAAGACUGGGAUAACUUCGGGAAACCGGAGCUAAUACCGGAUAACAUAUUGAACCGCAUGGUUCAAUAGUGAAAGGCGGCUUUGCUGUCACUUAUAGAUGGAUCCGCGCCGUAUUAGCUAGUUGGUAAGGUAACGGCUUACCAAGGCAACGAUACGUAGCCGACCUGAGAGGGUGAUCGGCCACACUGGAACUGAGACACGGUCCAGACUCCUACGGGAGGCAGCAGUAGGGAAUCUUCCGCAAUGGGCGAAAGCCUGACGGAGCAACGCCGCGUGAGUGAUGAAGGUCUUCGGAUCGUAAAACUCUGUUAUCAGGGAAGAACAAAUGUGUAAGUAACUGUGCACAUCUUGACGGUACCUGAUCAGAAAGCCACGGCUAACUACGUG